rnacentral:rRNA from 1 species
AUUGAACGCUGGCGGCAGGCUUAACACAUGCAAGUCGAGCGAGCGGCGGACGGGUGAGUAAUGUCUGGGAACCUGCCUGAUGGAGGGGGAUAACUACUGGAAACGGUAGCUAAUACCGCAUACCAUCAGAUGUGCCCAGAUGGGAUUAGCUAGUAGGUGGGGUAAUGGCUCACCUAGGCGACGAUCCCUAGCUGGUCUGAGAGGAUGACAGGCCACACGGGAACUGAGAACGGGUCCAGACUCCUACGGGGGGAAGCAGUGGGGAAUAUUGGACAAUGGGCGCAAGCCUGAUGCAGCAAUGCCGCGUGGUUGAAGAAGGCCUUCGGGUUGUAAAGCACUUUCAGCGAGGAGGCGUUACUCGCAGAAGAAGCACCGGCUAACUCCGUGCCAGCAGCCGCGGUAAUAC